GAGUGGCGAACGGGUGAGUAAUACAUCGGAACGUGCCCAAUCGUGGGGGAUAACGCAGCGAAAGCUGUGCUAAUACCGCAUACGAUCUACGGAUGAAAGCAGGGGAUCGCAAGACCUUGCGCGAAUGGAGCGGCCGAUGGCAGAUUAGGUAGUUGGUGAGGUAAAGGCUCACCAAGCCUUCGAUCUGUAGCUGGUCUGAGAGGACGACCAGCCACACUGGGACUGAGACACGGCCCAGACUCCUACGGGAGGCAGCAGUGGGGAAUUUUGGACAAUGGGCGAAAGCCUGAUCCAGCCAUGCCGCGUGCAGGAUGAAGGCCUUCGGGUUGUAAACUGCUUUUGUACGGAACGAAACGGCCUUUUCUAAUAAAGAGGGCUAAUGACGGUACCGUAAGAAUAAGCACCGGCUAACUACGUGCCAGCAGCCGCGGUAAUACGUAGGGUGCAAGCGUUAAUCGGAAUUACUGGGCGUAAAGCGUGCGCAGGCGGUUAUGUAAGACAGUUGUGAAAUCCCCGGGCUCAACCUGGGAACUGCAUCUGUGACUGCAUAGCUAGAGUACGGUAGAGGGGGAUGGAAUUCCGCGUGUAGCAGUGAAAUGCGUAGAUAUGCGGAGGAACACCGAUGGCGAAGGC
rnacentral:rRNA from 1 species